AGUAGCCAGAAUAUUUUUUCAUGAAUGAAGCAUCCAGCAUGUACAUAGUCAAUGAAUGGAAUUAUGUCAUCAUAUAUCAUGGAUAAUUUGCACUGAUUCAUCUCUUAUCUUCAAGGUAACCUCAUCCAACUUGUACCAGCAAAGAGGGCCUACUACAGAUCCUAUCUGUCUAAGAAUUCUGACUAUCAGGAUCCAGAAGAAGAGCCUUGUAUGUCACAAUGUCUGACUUUUGGAACAUCUUACCCUCCAGGAUAAGAUCUGCCCUGACCUUCCUAGGAACUUGAAGAUCUGGGUCUCCCUGUUGGCUUAGGGACACAAUGAGGGAUUUCCAUGCUGGAGGUGGCUGUUGGAUUUAUGUAUUCUUAUUGUUUUCUUUUUUGUUGUUUUAUUGUUCUAUUAUUUUACUUCUGUUUUGUUUACAUUUCUUUUCAUUUCUUUGUUUUUAUUAUGGUACGCUGCCCAGGGUAGCCCUAUGGGGAGAUAGGUGGCAAGUAAAUUUUAAAAAUAAAUAAAUAAAUAAUGAUGCAA